AUAUACACACACACUGCCCACCCAUAUAUACACACAUACACACUUCCCCCCACCCAUAUAUAUAUACAAUGCCCACCCAUAUACAGUGUAUAUAUAUGGGUGGGGGGAAGUGUGUAUGUGUGUAUAUAUGGGUGGGCAGUGUACAAAUAUA